UAGAUUUAGGCCAGUCUCAAAAACAAUUCUGAUGUUUAUUCUAUUCAAAGUUAAGUCAGCUACCACGUAAGUGGUUACAAAAAGACGGGGGGGGAGGAAUUACUGUAUUGCUCUUGAAUGAGAUGGACUUUUUUU